ACUCGAGUGGCGAACGGGUGAGUAACACGUGGGUGAUCUGCCCUGCACUUCGGGAUAAGCUUGGGAAACUGGGUCUAAUACCGGAUAGGAGCCAUCUUUAGUGUGGUGGUUGGAAAGUUUUUCGGUGUAGGAUGUGCUCGCGGCCUAUCAGCUUGUUGGUGGGGUAAUGGCCUACCAAGGCGGCGACGGGUAGCCGGCCUGAGAGGGUGUACGGCCACAUUGGGACUGAGAUACGGCCCAG
rnacentral:rRNA from 1 species